rnacentral:lncRNA from 1 species
CCGCCAUCGUUCAAAUGUCAUGCGCCAUCGUCAAAUGACUCGCGCCAUCGUUAAUUUGUCUUGCGCCAUCGUUAAAUGUCUUCCGCCAUCGUUCAAAAAUUCAUCUUUUUUGUAGCCCGACGCCAUUUUUUUUACCAAUUAUAAUCAAAUGCAUGUAAUUGAAUAACCCUUAGGCUUUUUAUGUUAUAAUCCAAUACAGUUCUAACGCCUGAGGAAUAUACGGAUUAAGAUCGCUAAUCACUUGUACCUGAGCUUGUACAGGUAGAUCAACAAACCAGACACGAGAAUACUAUCUGAGGAUAGACGAUUCAUUUGUCAAAAUGAUCAACUAAGUUUUAGCAAAUGAUUAUGAUAAUUUAGAUUAAACAAAUAAAUUAAUAAUCCAGUUACAAAGAAAACAGUUUAACAAGUCGAACACGUGCUUUGUUUUGACUUACGCAAUCAGCAUCCCCCUUUUUUAAGAAGUACAAAAUAAGACGCAAAACAGUAAAUAUUAUUUCAACGCAAAUAACUCGAGUACUGCUGUAACGAUAAUUUAGAAUUACUUUCAAAGUUUAAAAGUAAAAACUUUAAAUAUUUCCUGUAAAGAAAUAUCGUAUCGUAAUUCCAAAUUCAUAUCGUAUAUUACAAUCAAAUUGAUACAUCCGCGUUUCCGGUUUCUAUUCAGACUCGAAAGAUACAUGUUGCACAGCAUCAAUUUGCCAGA